rnacentral:lncRNA from 1 species
CAAUAUACAGUUUUAAAUCUUAAGGCUUCAAGCAAUGAAUCCAACAAUCAUUUAACCAUCAUGCUUACCUUAGGUUCGAAUUUACUGAGACCUAUGUUUAAAAUAUGCAAUCGACGAAAGAGAUCCAAUGAAAUUAUCCAGCUUCACAAAUGAAAAUUUAAACAUUAACCUAAAACUGAAUAGGAUUGUAAACAUCACUUGCAGUUCUGAACAUUAUUCAGCUAGUGCUUGGCAUUUUGACAACUUCAAACGAAAUAUAUCCUAAACAAUGUUGAUCUCAAAAAAGGAUAAGCAAACAUCCAAGGCUCAACCAAUCUAAUCAAUAUUCCGCUAUAACAGCCCUUUGAAGUCCCUUUGUACAAAACCUGAAUCCAGAUUCAUGCAAAUCAUUAAUAACUAAAUCACACGACUUGUCUAUCAUUGCAAAUGAUCUUAAACUGAAACAGAAAUGGAUUAACUAUAAUGAGAACCAAGACUAACUAUGAAAUUUGAAGGUUGUGAGAAUUUUUUUUAAUAAAACUAAAGCUCUUUGUAUUUCGAACUUCAAGCAAACAAACUUGCACUUCUUUAUUUCAUAUGUCAGUGAGAUGAACUAUACCUGGAGAUAAAAGAAACAAAACAGUAAGGUUUAGCAAAAGGAAAAGCAGCAGCAACCAACUGUAAACCCAACAAUAGAGCCAUAGAGACCACAACAAAAACCACACUUGAGUUCAACUACUUGAAACUCAAUCCAUUUUAAGCCAAAAUGCAAAAUUAAGAAUUUCAGUGAUUUGAACUAGCGUAUUAGGACCAGAAAAACCAAAUCCAAGCAAUUUUUUUGUUUGUAUUUUUCAGAGAAAUGCAAGGGAUUCAAGGUUGUUUUCAGAAUUUCUUCAAGACUGUCAGCCGUUUCAGUUUUUGGAUGAUUUCUAUCUCUUAAUUUUUGCCUUGACUGCCAAGUUAUGAUGUCUUUAUAGGCAAUGCAUUAGGACAGCCUCAAAUAAUUCACAUUUGCACUUAAAAAUCUUUUGGAAUUUUUGUUUUUGCUUAGGAGUCCUUUAUUUAAAAUUCAGAGCUUCAAAUCAGUCCCCCUUCCCAGCUUCCAAGAAGCUUCUUAAGAAAGUUACUGAGAUUCUCUCAAGCCUCUACUCCUUAAGCCCCUGAAAAUUACCCCUGGUCCAGGCAGACAUAUGGGUUAAAUUGACCCAAUUGAAGUGUUGAUGGGUAAAUUUUGACCAAACACUUAACAGGCCUCAAUGAAGGAUUAGAAAAUGACCUCAAGGCCCAGACCAAAUAAAAAAGAAACUCAUUUUAAAAUUAGAAGAACGAAAUUAUAUGAAUUUAUCAUAACUAAGCUCAACUUAUGAUUUCCUAAUGAGCUAUAAUUAAAGUACAUACAAAGGAGUGAGAACCAAUUAUACGACUGGAAAAGAAAAAAAUCAGAAAUUAAGCGGGUAAUAAACUAAACACAAUUCAUGAGAACGACCACCAUAUAAACCCAGAAAGUUAUAAUCAUUGUUUUAAUCAAGAAAUCUAACUAAGGAAAAACUGGAGGAAAGGGUGAGGGACAGGUAAAAAGAAAACGGAUAGAAAAGAGAAGAAGUAGGAGGAUACAAGUCACGAACAAACAGAAGAUGGAGACGAGAUGGCAAAAACAAAGAAAAUACGUCGAAGUCCAUAUGGACAAUGCUUGAAGAUCUCAAACGGAUCCGACUUGACUUGAAAUUAGUACUAACCGUGUGUUCUCUUUGAGAACUAAUCAGUAAUACUCGUUUCAAGCCUAGUCGUUCACAAGAACUCGAGGAUUUGAGAGAUUUUCAUCUUCUUCGAUUCCUAAUCUGAAACGAGUCCAUUUUUGCAAGGAUUUUGGGAAGAGUGGUGGUGGAUUAGGAUGCAAGGAGGGUUGAUAGUUGCAUGGCCAAAUUUUUGUGGUGGUCGGAGCUAUCUCGCUGGUGAUAGUGGAGGAUUCGCUCAGAGGCGGCAUUAGGUUUCACUGUCUCUGAGUUUGAGAAAGGUGAGAGAUGAGGUGUUUGAACUGAUGUGAGCUAACGAGUUUGGACAUAUUAAUUGAGAAUGGGAGGGGUUGUCUGAGCCAUCAGAUCUGCUGAACGAAGGGUUGAGAUUGGAGUAAGGUUAAGAGACC